rnacentral:rRNA from 1 species
GGUUUCCGUAGUGACCUGCGGAAGGAUCAUUG